AAAACAGGCUGCUCUAUCGUCUUUAUAGCUUUAUGGCUAUGGGGAAGGAAAGUCCGGGCAGCACAUGGCAGCUCGCCUCCUAACGGGAGGAUCACGACAUUUAAUUGGCGGGAUAGAAAGUGUAACAGAAAAUUGUCCUGAGUGUAUCAGGAGUGAAAAAAGCUGAUGGUAACAUUAGUGAUCUACAAACCUCGGGUGCUGAAAGGUCAAAUAAGUUCCGGUGUAAGGUUAGCCAGACCGUUCGGAAUGGGUGGACUGAUACAACUUGCCAGUGAUGGUAAGUGCAGAUAAAUGAUAGGGAAUUACAGAACCCGGCUUAUAGGUCUGUUUUUAUU
rnacentral:RNase_P_RNA from 1 species